rnacentral:misc_RNA from 1 species
UUACAACGAAACGGCGCCCUCACCGGCGCCGGUUCUCAAACCACUGCGUAUGAAGCUCUCGAGGUUGCCUCCCGGCUGGCGUGCGGCUCCCGCGCGCCCGCCGGGGGGGUCAACAGCCCGAGACUCGUUUCCUUCGCGGGGUACCCCCCCGCGGCAGGACGCUACCAAACAUUUUGUCAAGAUGUCAUCGUCUGAACCUAUUGAAAAAAUAGAAAAUACAACUUUUAACAAUGGAUCUCUUGGCUCCGGCAUCGAUGAAGAACGCAGCGAAAUGCGAUAACUAGUGUGAAUUGCAGAUUUCAGUGAAUCAUCGAGUCUUUGAACGCACAUUGCGCCUCUUGGUAUUCCUCGAGGCAUGCCUGUUCGAGCGUCGUUUCACCCCUCAAGCGCAAGCUUGGUGUUGGGGAUCGCCCCUGAAAUACGGCGGCGGCCCUUAAAUGCAUCGGCGGAGCUGGUACCAGCCCGGAGCGCAGCAGACAUGCAGCUUCCAGGCGACCUGGCCCCCGCCGGACAACGAAACUUUUAUACGUGUCGACCUCGAAUCAGGUAAGGAUACCCGCUGAACUUAAGCAUAUCAAUAAGCGGAGGAAAAGAAACCAACAGGGAUUGCCUUAGUAACGGCGAGUGAAGCGGCAACAGCUCAAAUUUGAAAUCUGGCGUCUUUGGCGUCCGAGUUGUAAUUUGUAGAGGAUGCUUCGGCGUAGGCGCCGCCUAAAGUUCCUUGGAACGGGACGUCGUAGAAGGUGAUAGCCCUGUGACAGGGCGGAUGCCGUCGCCAUGUGAAGCUCCUUCGACGAGUCGAGUUGUUUGGGAAUGCAGCUCAAAACGGGAGGUAAAUUUCUUCUAAAGCUAAAUACCGGCCGGAGACCGAUAGUGCACAAGUAGAGUGAUCGAAAGAUGAAAAGCACUUUGGAAAGAGAGUCAAACAGCGCGUGAAAUUGUUAAAAGGGAAGCGCUUGCGGUCAGAACUUGGCCGCCGUUGCUCGGGGAGGUCUCGUGCCUCCCUCGCUCUUCGGCGGCUGGGCCAGCAUCGGUUCGGGCGGCUCGAUAAAGGCCGCGGGAACGUAGCUCCCUCCGGGGAGUGUUAUAGCCCGCGGCGGAAUGGGGCCCGCCUGGAUCGA